rnacentral:tRNA from 1 species
GGACUUGCAGCUCAAAUGGUAGAGCGCCUGAUUCUGACUCAGGUUGUCGCAGGUUCGAAGCCUGCUACCG